rnacentral:rRNA from 1 species
ACCAGACUCCUACGGGAGGCAGCAGUGGGGGAUAUUGCACAAUGGGGGGAACCCUGAUGCAGCGACGCCGCGUGGGUGAAGAAGUCAUUCGUGACGUAAAGCCCUAUCGGCAGGGAAGAAAAGCGAACAGGUUCGCCUGGACGGUACCUGACUAAGAAGCCCCCGCUAACUACGUGCCAGCAGCCGCGGGAAUACGUAGGGGGCAAGCGUUAUCCGGAUUCACUGGGUGUAAAGGGAGCGUAGACGGCGGCGCAAGUCUGGAGUGAAAGCCCGGGGCCCAACCCCGGGACUGCUCUGGAAACUGCGGCGCUGGAGUACGGGAGGGGCAGGCGGAAUUCCUGGUGUAGCGGUGAAAUGCGUAGAUAUCAGGAGGAACACCGGCGGCGAAGGCGGCCUGCUGGACCGUGACUGACGUUGAGGCUCGAGAGCGUGGGGAGCAAACAGGAUGAGAUACCCCGGUACC